rnacentral:rRNA from 1 species
UACGUAGGGUGCAAGCGUUGUCCGGAAUUACUGGGCGUAAAGCGCGCGUAGGCGGUCUGUUAAGUGCACAAGUGAAAGCUCCGGGCUCAACUCGGAAAUUGCUUUGCAUACUGGCAGGCUGGGAGGGACGCAGAGGUCUGUGGAAUUCCUGGUGUAACGGUGAAAUGUGUUGAUAUCAGGAGGAACACCCAUGGCGAAGGCAGCAGACCUGGGCGUUUCCUGACGCUGAGGCGCGAAAGCGUGGGUAGCAAACGAGG